rnacentral:rRNA from 3 species
UCUAAUACCGGAUAUGACCGUCCAUCGCAUGGUGGAUGGUGUAAAGCUCCGGCGGUGCAGGAUGAGCCCGCGGCCUAUCAGCUAGUUGGUGAGGUAGUGGCUCACCAAGGCGACGACGGG